rnacentral:rRNA from 1 species
UAGUGGCAGACGGGUGAGUAACGCGUGGGAAGCUACCUUGUGGUAGGGGACAACAGUUGGAAACGACUGCUAAUACCCUAUGAGCCCUAUGGGGGAAAGAUUUAUCGCCAUGAGAUGUGCCCGCGUUAGAUUAGCUAGUUGGUAAGGUAAUGGCUUACCAAGGCGACGAUCUAUAGCUGGUCUGAGAGGAUGAUCAGCCACACUGGGACUGAGACACGGCCCAGACUCCUACGGGAGGCAGCAGUGGGGAAUAUUGGACAAUGGGGGCAACCCUGAUCCAGCCAUGCCGCGUGUGUGAUGACGGCCUUAGGGUUGUAAAGCACUUUCAGCAGUGAAGAUGAUGACAUUAACUGCAGAAGAAGCCCCGGCUAACUUCGUGCCAGCAGCCGCGGUAAUACGAAGGGGGCUAGCGUUGUUCGGAAUCACUGGGCGUAAAGAGUACGUAGGCGGACUGAUAAGUUAGGGGUGAAAUCCCAAGGCUCAACCUUGGAACUGCCUUUGAUACUGUCAGUCUUGAGAUCGAGAGAGGUGAGUGGAACUCCGAGUGUAGAGGUGAAAUUCGUAGAUAUUCGGAAGAACACCAGUGGCGAAGGCGGCUCACUGGCUCGAUACUGACGCUGAGGUACGAAAGCGUGGGGAGCAGACAGGAUUAGAUACCCUGGUAGUCCACGCCGUACACGAUGAAUGCUAGUUGUCAGGUAGCUUGCUAUUUGGUGACGCA